UACAGCACAAGCUCUAUGAAACAAUCAUUUUGCUCCAAUCCCUCUGACAGAGAUAAACAACUACAAGAUCUCUAUCAAGCAUUCUUAAAACUACAAUACGCACCUGAAGAAGU